rnacentral:rRNA from 1 species
UUGAACGCUGGCGGCAGGCCUAACACAUGCAAGUCGAGCGGCAGCGCGGGGCAACCUGGCGGCGAGCGGCGAACGGGUGAGUAACGCGUAGGAAUCUACCCAGUAGCGGGGGAUAGCCCGGGGAAACUCGGAUUAAUACCGCAUACGCCCUAAGGGGGAAAGCAGGGGAUCCUCGGACCUUGCACUAUUGGAAGAGCCUGCGUUGGAUUAGCUAGUUGGUAGGGUAAAGGACUACCAAGGCGACGAUCCAUAACUGGUCUGAGAGGAUGAUCAGUCACACCGGAACGGAGGCACGGUCCGGACUCCUACGGGAGGCAGCAGUGGGGAAUAUUGGACAAUGGGGGCAACCCUGAUCCAGCCAUGCCGCGUGUGUGAAGAAGGCCUUCGGGUUGUAAAGCACUUUAAGUGGGGAGAAAGGCUCCAGGGUUAAUACCUUUGGGGAUUGAUGCUACCCACAGAAUAAGCACCGGCUAACUCUGUGCCAGCAGCCGCCGUAAGAC